GACAGAGGGUGCAAACGUUGUUCGGAAUUACUGGGCGUAAAGCGCGUGUAGGCGGCUUGGCAAGUCGGAUGUGAAAGCCCACGGCUCAACCGUGGAAGCGCAUCCGAAACUGCUUCGCUCGAGUCUCGGAGAGGAAGGUGGAAUGCUUGGUGUAGAGGUGAAAUUCGUAGAUAUCAAGCAGAACACCUGCGGCGAAGGCGGCCUUCUGGACGAUGACUGACGCUGAGACGCGAAAGCGUGGGGAGCAAACAGG
rnacentral:rRNA from 1 species